rnacentral:rRNA from 1 species
GACGAACGUUGGCGGCGUGCUUAACUCAUGCAAGUCGAACGGAAAGGCCCUGCUUUUGUGGGGUGCUCGAGUGGCGAACGGGUGAGUAACACGUGAGUAACCUGCCCUUGACUUUGGGAUAACUUCAGGAAACUGGGGCUAAUACCGGAUAGGAGCUCCUGCUGCAUGGUGGGGGUUGGAAAGUUUCGGCGGUUGGGGAUGGACUCGCGGCUUAUCAGCUUGUUGGUGGGGUAGUGGCUUACCAAGGCUUUGACGGGUGGCCGGCCUGAGAGGGUGACCGGCCACAUUGGGACUGAGAUACGGCCCAGACUCCUACGGGAGGCAGCAGUGGGGAAUAUUGCACAAUGGGCGGAAGCCUGAUGCAGCAACGCCGCGUGCGGGAUGACGGCCUUCGGGUUGUAAACCGCUUUCGCCUGUGACGAAGCGUGAGUGACGGUAAUGGGUAAAGAAGCACCGGCUAACUACGUGCCAGCAGCCGCGGUGAUACGUAGGGUGCGAGCGUUGUCCGGAUUCAUUGGGCGUAAAGGGCUCGUAGGUGGUUGAUCGCGUCGGAAGUGUAAUCUUGGGGCUUAACCCUGAGCGUGCUUUCGAUACGGGUUGACUUGAGGAAGGUAGGGGAGAAUGGAAUUCCUGGUGGAGCGGUGGAAUGCGCAGAUAUCAGGAGGAACACCAGUGGCGAAGGCGGUUCUCUGGGCCUUUCCUGACGCUGAGGAGCGAAAGCGUGGGGAGCGAACAGGCUUAGAUACCCUGGUAGCCCACGCUGUAAACGGUGGGUACUAGGUGUGGGGUCCAUUCCACGGGUUCCGUGCCGUAGCUAACGCUUUAAGUACCCCGCCUGGGGAGUACGGCCGCAAGGCUAAAACUCAAAGGAAUUGGCGGGGCCCCGCACAAGCGGCGGAGCAUGCGGAUUAAUUCGAUGCAACGCGUAGAACCUUACCUGGGUUUGACAUGGAUCGGGAGCGCUCAGAGAUGGGUGUGCCUCUUUUGGGGUCGGUUCACAGGUGGUGCAUGCCUGUCGUCAGCUCGUGUCGUGAGAUGUUGGGUUAAGUCCCGCAACGAGCGCAACCCUUGUUCACUGUUGCCAGCACGUUAUGGUGGGGACUCAUAGGAGACCGCCGGGGUCAACUCGGAGGAAGGUGGGGAUGACGUCAAGUCCUCAUGCCCCUUAUGUCCAGGGCUUCACGCAUGCUACAAUGGCUGGUACAGAGAGUGGCGAGCCUGUGAGGGUGAGCGAAUCUCGGAAAGCCGGUCUCAGUUCGGAUUGGGGUCUGCAACUCGACCUCAUGAAGUCGGAGUCGCUAGUAAUCGCAGAUCAGCAACGCUGCGGUGAAUACGUUCCCGGG